rnacentral:rRNA from 1 species
GACGAACGCUGGCGGCGUGCUUAACACAUGCAAGUCGAACGAAAAGAGGGAAAGAGCUUGCUCUUUCCGGAAUUGAGUGGCAAACGGGUGAGUAACACGUAAACAACCUGCCUUCAGGAUGGGGACAACAGACGGAAACGACUGCUAAUACCGAAUAAGUUCCAAGGGCCGCAUGGCCCAUGGAAGAAAAGGUGGCCUCUACCUGUAAGCUAUCGCCUGAAGAGGGGUUUGCGUCUGAUUAGCUGGUUGGAGGGGUAACGGCCCACCAAGGCGACGAUCAGUAGCCGGUCUGAGAGGAUGAACGGCCACACUGGAACUGAGACACGGUCCAGACUCCUACGGGAGGCAGCAGUGGGGAAUCUUCCGCAAUGGGCGAAAGCCUGACGGAGCAACGCCGCGUGAGUGAUGACGGCCUUCGGGUUGUAAAACUCUGUGAUCCGGGACGAAAAGGCAGAGUGCGAAGAACAAACUGCAUUGACGGUACCGGAAAAGCAA